GACCUCCUGGUGCUUACCCCAGGCUGUGUUCUUACACUGACUGUACAGAAAGAGGAGGCAGAGUAAACCCACCCCAUAUACACCUCAGCCUGGGCCCUUUGCCUGGUUUGUACUGUGAAUGGAGGACAUGG